ACCCUAGGUUAGGUAGGAUUACCUAUUGAGUUUAAGCAUAUGAAUAAGCAAAGGAAAAGAAACUUACCAGGAUUCUCCUAGUAACAAUGAGCGGACCAGGAAAAGCCCAGCUUGAGAAUCGAGAACCCUUGGAGUCCAAAUUGUUGUCUGGUGAAGCGUCCUCAGUGAUAGACUAGGCCUAAGUCCUAUAGAAAGGGGUGUUAGAGAGGGUGAAAGUCCUAUUGUGCUUGGAUCCUAUCACACCAUGAGAUUCUAUCUACGAGUUAGUUGUUUGGGACUGUAGCCCUAAUCAGGUGGUAAAUUUCAUCCAAGGCUGAAUACGAGUGAGAGACCAAUAGUGAAGAAGUACCAUAAGGGAAAGAUGAAAAGGACUUUGAGAGAGUCAAAGAGUGCUUGAAAUUAUCGAAAGGGAAAUGAAUGGGGGACGAUGAUGUGCCCUAGUUAGAUGUGGAAUGGUGAGAGCCAAUCCAUUGAUUGGCUUAGGGCAUGGACUGACAUGUGUCGUAGUGGCUGCCCAACCCUAAGCUUUCGAUAUGCCCAUGGAGACAUUGUCACUAUGAUCGUGGAAUGCAACACACAUCAUCUCAACAUGCCUCGACACUCAUGUGCUCCUGGCAUCAGCCUGCGAGCUCCCUAUCUAGCUUGUCUUGAAACGUAGGCCAAGGAGUUUGACAUGUGUGCAAGUUAACGUGCUAGAUAACCUAUAAGGUGUAAAGAAGUUGGUUGGUGGGAUCCCUCAUAGGUGCACCACCGACCAACUUUGAUCUUCUGAGAAAAGGUUCAAGUGUGAGCUUACCUAUUAAGGUGAACUAUGCUUGAGUGGGGCUAAGCCAGGGGAAACUCUAGUGGAAGCCCACAAUGAUACUGAUGUGUAAAUCAUUCAUCUAACUUAGGUAUAGGCGUGAAAGACUAAUUGAACCAUCUAGUAGCUAGUUCCCUCUAAAGUUUCCUUUAGGAUAGAUGGAGCCCUUAGCGAGUUCUAUUAGGGUAAAGCCAUGGUUAGAGGCAUUGGAGGCACAAUGCCCUCAACCUAUUGUCAAACUUUAAAUAAGUAGGAUGAUGUAGCUAUUUCAUUGACAUGCUCCAUGGAAUUGAGACCUUCAAGUGGGCCAUUUUUGGUAAGUAGAAUUGGUGACAUAGGAUGAACUAAAAGUUGGGUUACAGUGCCUAAUUGUAUGCUAACCUAGAACCCUCAAAGGUGUUGUCGAUUAAGACAGUAAGACAGUGAUCAUGGAAGUCAAAAUCCUCUAAGGAGUGUGUAAUAACCCACCUAUCAAAUCAACUAGCCUCAAAAAUAAAUUGUGCUUAAGCACGUGACCUAUACUAGAUCAUCAAGGCAAGGGCCAAGCCUUGAUAAGUAAGAGGGUAUGAUGGUUGCUGUAAAACUCAAUGCACAAGCUUGUGUAAAGAGACUAUCAGUGUAGAUCUUGGUGGUAGUAGUAAAUAUUCAAAUAAGAACUUUGAAGGCCAAUGAAGGGAAAGGUUCCAUGUGAACAGCACUUGCACAUAGGUUAGUCGAUCCUUAGAGAUGGGUCUAACAUGAGCUUUGAAAGGAAAUUGAGUUAAAAUUCUAAACUGGGACACAAUGGCUAAUAGCAACAUUAGGGAUUCCAAAGACAUCGAUGAGGGCCUUAGGAAGAGUUAUCUUUUCUAUUUAAUAACCUACCCACCUUAGAAACAACUUAAUCGGAGGUAGGUUCCAUUGUCCAGAGAGCAAUGCAUGUCACAUUAUGUCCUAUUUGCCCAGCAGCCCUUGAAAAUAUGGAGGAGUGAGUGCUAUUCAUGCCCAGUUGUACUCAUUAUUGCAUGGGUUUCCAAAUUGAAUAAGCUAUAGUCGAUGGAACAAUAUAGGUAAGGGAAGUCAACAAAAUGGAUCUCUAACCUUGGGAAAAUGAUUGGCUCUAAGGGUUGGGCAUGGGGGUCCAAGUCUUGAACCUUUUUGCUACCAAUGCACUACUCGAGCUACCCCAUGAUGAGAGCAAUUCGAUGCAUGUAGUCUAAGGGAUGGACUAGGAAUGGCUUCCUCGAGGUCCUUCCCCAUGUGAUGAAUAGUCAACUCAAAACUAGUACAGACUAGGGGAAUUUGACUGUUCAAUUAAAACAAAGCAUUGCGAUGGUCCCUAGGGAUGCGCACUCAAUGUCAUUUUUGCCCAGCACUCUAAAUGUCAAAGUGAAGAAAUUCAACCAAUCGCGGGUAAACGAUAGGAGUAAUAUGACUCUUUUGAGGUAGCCAAAUGCCUCUACAUCUAAUUAGUGACACACAUGAGUGGAUUAAUAAGACUCUCAUUAUCCUUAUCGACUAUUCAACAAAACCACAACCAAGGGAAUGGGCUUAGCAUAACCAGUAGGAAAGAAGACCUAAUUGAGCUUGACUCUAGUCUAACUUUGUGAAAUGACUUGAGAGGUGUAGGAUAAGUGAGAACCCUUUGACGAAAUUGAAAUACCAUUUCUUUUAAUGUUAUUUUACUUAUUUCAUGAAUCAGAGGUGGGGCACAACUCUUUUUUUUUGGAUGUAAGGCUUGUCUCGAUCGAUUAAUCCAGGCAGAAGACAUUGUCAGGUAGGGAGUUUGUUGGGGCAGCACAUCUAUUAAAAGAUAAUGCAAGUGUCCUAUGAUAAUCUCAAUAAGAACAAGAAUCUCAUAUGGAACAAAAGGGAAAAGGCUCAUUUCAUUCUAAUUUCUAGUACAAAUAUAAACCAUGAAAGCAUGGCCUAUCUAUCUUUAGACCUCAAAAUUUAAAGCUAAAGGCAUUAGAAAAGUUUCCAUAGGGAUAAUUAGCUUGUGGCAAUGAAGUAUUCAUUAGUGACAUUACUUUUUGAUCUUUUGAUGUCAGCUCUUCCCAUCAUUGUGAAGCAAAAUUCUCUAAGUGUUGGAUUGUUCACCCACCAAUAUGAAAUGUGAGCCAGGUUUAGACCAUUGUGAGAUAGGUUAGUUUUACCCUAUUGAUAGCAAUGUUGCAAUAGUAAUUCAAUCUAGAAUGAGAAGAACUUUGAUUUGCACAAUUGGUCGUCGUGCUUGGUUGAAAAGCUAAGGGUAAGAAGCUAUUGUGUGCUAGAUUAUGAUUGAAUGUGACUAAUCAAAACUAGGGCUAGAAGUGAUCUUGGCCCAUUAUCCCCAAUUGCUGACCUACUAACAUGGAUGCAUUGGCCCCCUAAAGGGCAUGUGUCAUACGUGCCAGCCUCUGCUGCGGACAAGCCACGUAAGGCCU
rnacentral:rRNA from 1 species